UUUUUGUAGGGAGGUCGAAAUAGAAACACUUCAGCCCCUCUUCGGCGAGGGAGGUUAGUUGGUAAGGUGCCCAUUGUUCACCCAUGGAAACAGGCCUGCCAAGGGCCGCCCCGCAGACAGUGCUUGCUCUCUUCCGUUCUAGCACUUGCCUCGGUGACCUGGCAGGACGUGCGGUUCUUGAGAUGAGUGGAGAAACGGACUCCCAGGUCCCUCUCGUUCUUCCAACACAGGGACAGCUAGAGCUGCUCCAAAAAUAUACCCUACUUCUUCCACAACCGUGAAUCUGUCAUUUUUACUGCACCAUCACUUACUUCCUGGCCUUCCCGGAGGAAGUGUGCGGGCCUCCCCGAAGUAACCGGCCUCGGGACCCAGACCAGGAUUUCCAUCAGCUCCCCUGGCUCGCAGGCCUUCUGACUUCUGACUCACCAUCAGCUCUCCUGGAUCCAGCUUGCCAAUGGCAGAUCGUGGGACUCCUUGCCCUCUAAUCGCAUGAAACAAUGCCCACAGGGCAGGUCUCACUAUGUUGCCCAUUCUGGUCUUGAACUCUUGGACUCAAGCAAUCCUCCCACCUCGGACUUCCAAAGUGCUGGAAUCACAGGCUUGAGAUACCAUGCCCAGCCAAUUUAUUGUGGUUAAGUAUAUAUAAUAGAAUUUACCAUUUUAAGUGUUUUCAAGUAUACAAUUCAGGGGCACGAAUUACUUUCACAAUGUUGUCCAACCAUCAACACUGUCCACUUCUAGAAUUUUUCAUCAUUCCAAACAGAAACUGCAUACUCCUUAACCAAUAGCUUCCAUUCUCCCCUGCCCCCCAGCCCCUAGUAGCACCAUUCUACUUUCUGUCUCUGAAUUCGACUACGCUGGG
rnacentral:lncRNA from 10 species